GACGAACGCUGGCGGCGUGCUUAACACAUGCAAGUCGAACGGUAAGGCCCUUCGGGGUACACGAGUGGCGAACGGGUGAGUAACACGUGGGUGAUCUGCCCUGCACUUCGGGAUAAGCCUGGGAAACUGGGUCUAAUACCGGAUAGGACCACUGCCUGCAUGGGUGGUGGUGGAAAGCUUUUGCGGUGUGGGAUGGGCCCGCGGCCUAUCAGCUUGUUGGUGGGGUGAUGGCCUACCAAGGCGACGACGGGUAGCCGGCCUGAGAGGGUGACCGGCCACAAUGGGACUGGGAUACGGCCCAUACUCCUACGGGAGGCAGCAGUGGGGAAUAUUGCACAAUGGGCGCAAGCUUGAUGCAGCGACGCCGCGUGAGGGAUGACGGCCUUCGGGUUGUAAACCUCUUUCAGUAGGGACGAAGCGCAAGUGACGGUACCUACAGAAGAAGGACCGGCCGACUACGUGCCAGCAGCCGCCGUAA
rnacentral:rRNA from 1 species